rnacentral:sRNA from 13 species
AAGUGGCAAUCCAAGUCGGCUGUCUAAAUACGAGCAAGCGAUUUGUGUGUCUAGUUGCUAGUUGGCAACAACGACUUUGUGCCGGAGCCAUGGCAAUAGCUGCCUCGCCAAUUGAGUUUAUGCCAAAUGAUAAUAUUCACCUGCAGCUUUCCGCUGGGAUAUCCGCAAUAAUGUAAUAACCUAAUUCCAUGGUACUAUAUUAUUCAUUUCACUGCACCCAGCCGACAGGAAUUUGAUGGAAUUUCCUGUAAACAGGCAGCUCGCAGCAGACAGACAGACGUACAGCCACUUCCCUCGAAUAGACAGACUCACAGACAAGGCAUAAACGCAUACAGUGAACACCCGGGAUGUAGGAUGAAGGGGACA